ACGUAGGCAGCGAGCGUUGUUCGGAGUUACUGGGCGUAAAGAGUAUGUAGGCGGUGCUUUAAGUUUGGUGUGAAAUCUCCCGGCUUAACUGGGGAGGUGCGCUGGAUACUGGAAAGCUUGAGUGUAGGAAAGGAGAGCGGAAUUCCUGGUGUAGCGGUGAAAUGCGUAGAUAUCGGGAGGAACACCAGAGGCGUAGGCGGCUCUCUGGGCUGUGACUGACACUGAGAUACGAAAGCUAGGGGAGCAAACGG
rnacentral:rRNA from 1 species